CUUUCCCUAGCUGUGGGAAGGUUGGUGGCAUAGCUGGUGUUCCUAAUGGGACAGCAACAUCUAAGGCCCUCAGUGAGUAGAGCUUGUUCUUUAGGAACAUACAGAAUGAAAGACACCAUCUGUGGCAUAUCCUGUUUAUGUCUGCUGCUCCUCUGCAGACUGCAAACUGUUGUGCGUGUCAGUGCGGAGCUUCUCCACUUGAUGAACUUCAGGUGUACUGGAAGAAUGAUUGCAAAUUGAAAUGGCUUUGUAACGAGGCCUGAGUUAGCAACAAAACCAAACAGGAAUAUUCAUUUUCCUGAAAUUAUCAGAGAGAAUAACACUUGGAGAGAACAUUCAUCAUUAUGUCAGCAAGGAGCUAGAAAAGCAAAUCCUUCUGCAAUUUUCUCCUAGCACCAACUCACAGCUCAGAGCCCAGACUUAGAUUUGGAAGAAGAGCCGAAAUAGUCACCACGGGUGUUGGGGUGCUGUGAUUGCCCAUCCUCACCUCAGCCUGUGUUAGAAAGCAACCAUGCAUUCCACAGGAUGGAAUGUCUGUGCGAAACUGGGCUUUGCUGUGCCUCUGCUCAGCAGCACAGCAGUCUUAAAUCCUGAAACUGUUAAGUACAACAUAUAUAUCACCUUGUGGUUUUUCAGGCUCACUGCAUGGAAACUCCCUGGCUGGAUUUAGAAGUCCCCACCCAAUAAGUUAUUUGCUUCCAGCUCCUGCUAUUCCUUUGCUUUUCUGGGCAAAGGUGGAAUCCUGAAUCUGAUGCUCAGGCAGCUCUCCUGGGGAAUGUCCGCUUGCUCCCCACAGUUCACGGCACAAGGCAGGCAGAGAUGUUUUGGAGUUUUUGUCUUUUCCUGUCCCAACCCACAGCUGCCUCUGCUGAGAUUGCAAUCUGAUGUAAGGGUUUACGCUGGUACCCUACAGCAACAUCCCUUGAGAAAAGCUUUGGGAAGUGGUGCCUGAUGAUGGGAGGUCAUGGGAAAAGGGCUCCCCAAAAGCAACAGGAGUGGGAAGCAAAAGGCUCCGGAGUGCUUGCGGGCGAUGAACUUCUUCCUCUGCCUUUUGAGUUUGGGAGAGAGGAAGCACAAAGCAGAAACAUCUGCAUUCCUAACUCCUCUGUGUGAGAAUAACCUAAAGAUGCUGAUGCUGUAAUAGGCAGCGGAGGAAGAGCAGCUCUUUUCCCCGGAUUAGCAUCCCAUUACAGCAGUGCUUUGAGGAUAUGAUCUGAUUUGUUUAUCCCAGAGUUCAAUCUGGCUAUGAAUGCACAGCUCUGCUGCUCUCAAACCCAGCCACAAACCUCUAUGCCCCACUCCUGCCCCAAACCAUGGUCAGGAGCAACAAGGAAGGACACCCCUGCGUUAAAAAAAAUCAUCUUUAAAAUUCACACACUUACACUUCCCAUUUUAUGUCUGCUUUCCAACACUGCAAAAGGGGUCUCCCAUCUUUUUGCUACCAGAUAAGCCUUCU